rnacentral:rRNA from 1 species
UGGGGAAUUUUGGACAAUGGGGGCAACCCUGAUCCAGCCAUGCCGCGUGCGGGAAGAAGGCCUUCGGGUUGUAAACCGCUUUUAGCCGGAAAGAAAAGGCGGAGGCUAAUACCCUCCGUUGUUGACGGUACCGGCGGAAUAAGCACCGGCUAACUACGUGCCAGCAGCCGCGGUAAUACGUAGGGUGCGAGCGUUAAUCGGAAUUACUGGGCGUAAAGCGUGCGCAGGCGGUUCGUUGUGUCUGAUGUGAAAGCCCCGGGCUCAACCUGGGAACGGCAUUGGAAACUGGCGGACUGGAGUGCGGCAGAGGGGGGUGGAAUUCCGCGUGUAGCAGUGAAAUGCGUAGGGAUGCGGAGGAACACCGAUGGCGAAGGCAGCCCCCUGGGCCGACACUGACGCUCAGGCACGAAAGCGUGGGGAGCAAUCAGGA